rnacentral:rRNA from 1 species
GAUGAACGCUGGCGGCGUGCUUAACACAUGCAAGUCGAACGGUGAAGCAGAGCUUGCUCUGUGGAUCAGUGGCGAACGGGUGAGUAACACGUGAGCAACCUGCCCCUGACUCUGGGAUAAGCGCUGGAAACGGCGUCUAAUACCGGAUAUGAGCUGCGAUCGCAUGGUCAGCAGUUGGACAGAUUUUUCGGUCUGGGAUGGGCUCACGGCCUAUCAGCUUGUUGGUGAGGUAAUGGCUCACCAAGGCGUCGACGGGUAGCCGGCCUGAGAGGGUGACCGGCCACACUGGGACUGAGACACGGCCCAGACUCCUACGGGAGGCAGCAGUGGGGAAUAUUGCACAAUGGGCGAAAGCCUGAUGCAGCAACGCCGCGUGAGGGAUGACGGCCUUCGGGUUGUAAACCUCUUUUAGCAGGGAAGAAGCGAAAGUGACGGUACCUGCAGAAGAAGCACCGGCUAACUACGUGCCAGCCGCCGCCGUAAGAC